rnacentral:rRNA from 1 species
UACGUAGGGUGCAAGCGUUAAUCGGAAUUACUGGGCGUAAAGCGUGCGCAGGCGGCUUUGCAAGACAGAUGUGAAAUCCCCGGGCUCAACCUGGGAACUGCAUUUGUGACUGCAUGGCUGGAGUGCGGCAGAGGGGGAUGGAAUUCCGCGUGUAGCAGUGAAAUGCGUAGAUAUGCGGAGGAACACCGAUGGCGAAGGCAAUCCCCUGGGCCUGCACUGACGCUCAUGCACGAAAGCGUGGGGAGCAAACAGG